rnacentral:rRNA from 1 species
UCAGGACGAACGCUGGCGGCGUGCUUAACACAUGCAAGUCGAACGAGAGGAGAAGGAAGCUUGCUUCUUUCAAAUCUAGUGGCAAACGGGUGAGUAACACGUAAACAACCUGCCUUCAGGAUGGGGACAACAGACGGAAACGACUGCUAAUACCGAAUACGUUCCUUAGGUCGCAUGACUUUAGGAAGAAAGGGUGGCCUCUACUUGUAAGCUAUCGCUUUGCGAUGGGUCUGCGUCUGAUUAGCUAGUUGGUGGGGCAAACGGCCUACCAAGGCGACGAUCAGUAGCCGGUCUGAGAGGAUGAACGGCCACAUUGGGACUGAGACACGGCCCAAACUCCUACGGGAGGCAGCAGUGGGGAAUAUUGCACAAUGGGGGAAACCCUGAUGCAGCGACGCCGCGUGAGCGAAGAAGUAUUUCGGUAUGUAAAGCUCUAUCAGCAGGGAAGAAGAAUGACGGUACCUGACUAAGAAGCACCGGCUAAAUACGUG